rnacentral:rRNA from 1 species
AUUGAACGCUGGCGGCAGGCCUAACACAUGCAAGUCGAACGCGUGGCGGACGGGUGAGUAAUGUCUGGGAAACUGCCUGAUGGAGGGGGAUAACUACUGGAAACGGUAGCUAAUACCGCAUACCAUCAGAUGUGCCCAGAUGGGAUUAGUUUGUUGGUGGGGUAACGGCUCACCAAGGCGACGAUCCCUCGCUGGUCUGAGAGGAUGACCCAGCAAACUGGAACGGGUACACGGGCCAGACUCCUACGGGAGGGAGCAGUGGGGAAUAUUUGACAAUGGGGGUAAGCCUGAUGCAGGCAAGCCGGGGGUAUGAAGAAGGGCUUCGGGGUGGAAAGUAAUUUCAGGGGGGGGGAGGUUCCCGCAGAAGAAGCAACGGCUAAAUCCGGGCCAGCAGGCGCGGGAAUUCC